GAGAGAAUUUGGCAACGGAACCUAACGGUGGAACGAGUGCCAACUGUGCUUCUAUAUUUGAUGUCACGAGCUGGUUAUUCCGAGACAACCCAUGUACAGUUUCUUACUAUCCACUGUGCUCAAGACCUUCAGUAGAUGGUCUCUGCGAGUAUCCUUUUGUUUUGGUUGGCACUCAGUGUGUUCACAUAAUUACGACCGGAUACCGAUGGCACGAGGCUCGUAACCAGUGUGUGCUGGUCGGUGGGGACCUGUUUGUUGUAGACGACUGCGAUCAGUACCACAAGGUUGCCCUCUACCUCUCUGAACAAGGUUACCCAUACUUUUGGAUCGGGGGCUCCGAUGAGGCCGAGGAAGGGCAAUGGCGCUGGGUUGACGGUUCGCCGAUGACCAUGCGACUGCCUUACUGGUC
rnacentral:lncRNA from 1 species